AGCGUUUCCCCCGGAAAAUGUCUUAGUCAAGGUGGUCAAGGGGGAAAAGGAAGAAUAAAAUAAAAUAUAGAUAUUUUUUUUAUUUUAUUUUUUUACACAUUGGUAGUCAAGGCAGGGCCCUAUUGUUGUUAAGGCCUUAACCAUACAGUGCUGGGGGAAACACUGGUGUUCUUCGGUCUGCUCCGUGGUCACCAGGAGGUACACCCCCUCCACUUGACGGGGGGGAUGCUUUUUGCGUCCAAACUGAAACAUAGCCUCUACGAACCGGCUUAAUAUUGAUACGAAAUUCUUGGGUUCGAAUGUUUUUCCGAUUUCUAAUCCCGACACAUCACCCUUCUUCCUCCUUCUCACCCUCGGUUUUCCGAGGAAGAGACUACAGUCUGGGUGUCCAACAUCUGGCCACUGGGUUUGCAUUGACCUCGCCUCAGUCGUGUUCCUCACACACACACACACACACACACACACACACACACACACACACACACACACACACACACACACACACACACACACACACACACACACACACACACACACACACACACACACACACACACACACACACACACACACGCUUAGCUACAACAACUAGCGACCAUGCUAGGCUAGCCAAGUUGACUCACUCUCGGGGUAGCUGCAGUGGCGGUGCCCCUCUCCGCUGAAACACCCCGUCAACAAACACGCCAUUCUUCCCGAGACAGCGAA